GGAUUGAAUGGGCGAAGCCUGAUCCAGCAAUGCCGCGUGUGUGAAGAAGGCCUUCGGGUUGUAAAGCACUUUUGUCCGGAAAGAAAACGAUCUAGCUAAUAUCUGGGUCGGAUGACGGUACCGGAAGAAUAAGCACCGGCUAACUACGUGCCAGCAGCCGCGGUAAUACGUAGGGUGCGAGCGUUAAUCGGAAUUACUGGGCGUAAAGCGUGCGCAGGCGGUUUGUUAAGACGGAUGUGAAAUCCCCGGGCUCAACCUGGGAACUGCAUUCGUGACUGGCAAGCUAGAGUAUGGCAGAGGGGGGUAGAAUUCCACGUGUAGCAGUGAAAUGCGUAGAGAUGUGGAGGAAUACCGAUGGCGAAGGCAGCCCCCUGGGCCAAUACUGACGCUCAUGCACGAAAGCGUGGGGAGCAAACAGGAUUAGAUACCCUGGUAGUCCACGCCCUAAACGAUGUCAACUAGUUGUUGGGGAUUCAUUUCCUUAGUAACGUAGCUAACGCGUGAAGUUGACCGCCUGGGGAGUACGGUCGCAAGAUUAAAACUCAAAGAAAUUGACGGA
rnacentral:rRNA from 1 species